GACGAACGCUGGCGGCGUGCUUAACACAUGCAAGUCGAACGGAAAGGCCCUGCUUUUGUGGGGUGCUCGAGUGGCGAACAGGUGAGUAACACGUGAGUAACCUGCCCUUGACUUUGGGAUAACUUCAGGAAACUGGGCUAAUACCGGAUAGGAGCUCCUGCUGCAUGGUGGGGGUUGGAAAGUUUCGGCGGUUGGGGAUGGACUCGCGGCUUAUCAGCUUGUUGGUGGGGUAGUGGCUUACCAAGGCUUUGACGGGUAGCCGGCCUGAGAGGGUGACCGGCGACAUUGGGACUGAGAUACGGCCCAGACUCCUACGGGAGGCAGCAGUGGGGAGUAUUGCACAAUGGGCGGAAGCCUGAUGCAGCAACGCCGCGUGCGGGGUGACGGCCUUCGGGUUGUAAACCGCUUUCGCCUGUGACGAAGCGUGAGUGACGGUAAUGGGUAAAGAAGCACCGGCUAACUACGUG
rnacentral:rRNA from 1 species